AGCAGCAACCAAGGCAGCUGUGCAAGGAGCUUCAGGAAGUGGAACUGUGUAGAUAACCUUCUUAGGACCCUCCAAAGGAUUCACAAAGGAACUGCACACUUUGCUCUCAUAACACUUUUGUGUCAUCAGCACCAUGAUGUCAGGGAAGGAGCUGUUUACGUCCAGUAUCCAGAAUGAAAGCUUUCAACUGCAGCUUGCUGCAAAUUCCUCCCUAACAGUCAACCAGCAAUUAGAACUGUUUGUUACAGUGGCAGCCACAGAAGCAUUUCAAGCAACAAGGCAGAAGCCUGGGGAGACAGAACGAGAGCUGGUUCAUUUGAAGGGGACUAUCGCCACACAGCAGCUAAUCCUGGGAUAGCAGGCAAUUUGGGGAGCAUGGCUGUUUGCAACUUUGGAGAAAGACCUGAUCUUGAUUUUGCUGGGAGGAAAGAAACUGGGAAGCCCUGUUUGGGGUGUUUAGAAAGAGAGUAUUCACAUUCUAACUCAAUAUCUGAAUAUUCUAACCUGAUAUGAAAUACUAAGGAAUAAAUUGGGAACUUUACUUGUUAAUGUUGUAUUUGAGACAGUAUUGCAGGGCUUAGAAUAUAUCUCACAAUAAGAAUCUUGCAAUAGUGUUGUUUACAUAACAGAAGGAGCAUAUUUAAAAUAAUAUCUCUGACAUCUUUGUCUGUAAUGGCGUCUUUUGAUAUUUGACAAAUUAUAUUUGAAUUUAAUUAAUAUCUUAGUCAGAAAUGUUAUGUUUGGUGUGACACUUUUCUCCCUAUUCUUUCUGUUUCUUGUGUGUUCUUUCCAUUCUUCUACUAUACACUUUUCAAAUUUAUAACUGGAUUCUGUUCUUGAUUUCAGCAAUUAAAAAGAAAAAUGUGGUACUUCUGACUUGUACCUCGUCUUUGGUAGCUAUACGUUCUUCUCAAAUACAGCAAGAAUUCCAUCAAAGGCAACUGAGAAGCUGUGAAAUACUGCAGGUUUUUGAUGUUCUCAAAGAGAAGUGUUUUUUUCUCCUUUGUUCCAAACCCAUUAUUAAGUUGAGAUUCAAAAUAAAUAGCCAACUGCAGAAAGGUCUUAGAUAUUACGUUGAGUAAGAAAUUUGCUAGAUAUUUUGUGUUCACAUAUUUGAAUAUAUUACAUUUUCUAUUCUCUAUUAAAGAGUCAGGUUACCAAGCAGAACUGUGAGCAGGCAUCACUCAGAGGGAGCUGACACAAGGCUGGGUGGUUUGCAUAGGUGGUUAGGCACAUUAUUGUAUAGCUUCCAGUACAUUCUCAGUAGCACAUACUUCAAAUGCAAAAAAAACAAAAAACAAAAACAAACAAACAAACAAAAAACAUUGGUAUUUUUCCUUUUUGUUUCACUAUGGUUGCCGCCCCCCCCCCCCUUAUUUUGCAAGUAUAGAGCCAGUCUGUAGCAAUUCUUUCCCAUGUCAGAGGUGAACCCAUGCUAGACUGGAGACAUAAAAGAUCAAUUUGUUGCAUCCUACUUCAACAUUAAAAACAGCUUAAAGUAUACUUGUUAGUCCAUGCACUUGCAGCUCUAAGGAAGUGUUCCAGCCCUUCAGUACUGAAAGUGUGGAUAUUGGUGAUAAACCAAGAUGUGUACCCUAAACCAAAACUAACCAAAAUGUUUAGGCUGAGAAAUAUAUAGCUCCAAGGAAGAAAGAUGAGGAGGAAGAACAAAAGAAAGAAAAGGAGAACACAAAAGACAACUUCGCCAUUCUAAACACCAGUCAGUUUGGGAAUUUACAAAAACAAACAAACAAACAAAAA
rnacentral:lncRNA from 1 species